AGAGAAGAGAAAGGGAGGGAGUUAGGCUUGGAUCUAGGAGUCUUUGCGACCGUUGCGAGCUCGGCUACACGAUAGAAAAUUGUUGGUGGAACUUAUUGAGAAGUAAGGAACAAGCCGAGCCCUAUUUUGUACAAGGGGAACUCUUUUAGUACCAAAGGGUUGAGGUCCAGGCGAAGGAUCCAGUGGUGGACGGGGAAAAGAGCAAAGCUAGGGGUUUGCUUGUGAUUUGUAAAGAACUGCAACCCCUUUCUUUUGAGCAAAUAUAUUGUAAUGUAUUUAAGAUUAGGGUGCCAGUAGGAUAUGAUUAUGUGUGUGUGUGUGAAUAUGUGUGGAUUGUGUGCUUGUGUAUGAAUUUUUGUCUGUUUGCAGACUUGUGGCUAGGAAACUUGGUUAUGGU